rnacentral:rRNA from 1 species
UGAGGAAUAUUGGGCAAUGCCCGCAAGGGUGACCCAGCAACGCCGCGUGGAGGAUGAAUGUCGUAAGAUUGUAAACUCCUGUUAGAGGGGAAGAAUAGUACCGGUUGGACCGGUAUAUGACUGUACCCUCAGAGAAAGCCCCGGCUAACUACGUGCCAGCAGCCGCGGUAAUACGUAGGGGGCAAGCGUUGUCCGGAUUUACUGGGUGUAAAGGGCGCGCAGGCGGGAUAAAAAGUCAGUGGUGAAAUCCUACAGCUUAACUCAGAACGGCCAAGUGAUACUGCUGUGCUAGAGUGCGGAAGAGGCAACCGGAAUUCUUGGUGUAGCGGUGAAAUGCGUAGAUAUCAAGAGGAACACCUGAGGCGAAGGCGGGUUGCUGGGCCGACACUGACGCUGAUGCGCGAAAGCCAGGGGAGCAAACG